rnacentral:SRP_RNA from 1 species
CCACGCAGCCGGGGAGAUAGCGGUGCCCUGUACUUGCAACCCGCUCUAGCAAGGGUGAUGUCCUGCCCCGGGCCGUUCGAGGUAGAGCUGCCUUCGGUAAGUGGCGUUGACGUUUGGGUCUUGUGCAACAGGAAUUUGUGAACCGUGUCAGGGCAGGAAUGCAGCAGCACUAAGCAAAACCUCUUGUGUGACACGAGGCAGCCUGAGCCGAGUUAACUGCCGGAGUAACGUCUGUGUCUGCGGUUCAAAGCAGGACGCGUGG